GACGAACGCUGGCGGCGUGCUUAACACAUGCAAGUCGAACGGAAAGGCCCUGCUUUUGUGGGGUGCUCGAGUGGCGAACGGGUGAGUAACACGUGAGUAACCUGCCCUUGACUUUGGGAUAACUUCAGGAAACUGGGGCUAAUACCGGAUCGGAGCUCCUGCUGCAUGGUGGGGGUUGGAAAGUUUCGGCGGUUGGGGAUGGACUCGCGGGUUAUCAGCUUGUUGGUGGGGUAGUGGCUUACCAAGGCUUUGACGGGUAGCCGGCCUGAGAGGGUGACCGGCCACAUUGGGACUGAGAUACGGCCCAGACUCCUACGGGAGGCAGCAGUGGGGAAUAUUGCACAAGGGGCGGAAGCCUGAUGCAGCAACGCCGCGUGCGGGAUGACGGCCUUCGGGUUGUAAACCGCUUUCGCCGGUGACGAAGCGUGAGUGACGAUAAUGGGUAAAGAAGCACCGGCUAACUACGUG
rnacentral:rRNA from 1 species